rnacentral:lncRNA from 1 species
GUACCAGUGUCAUGUAUCAGGUCUACCUCAAGGUGACAGUGAACCCAGGUGAAGAGUAUAGUCACUUUUCAUGAAGUGAAGCCCAUCUCCCUUCUCUUGGUUCUGGAUGUUCUUAGCUGUGCCCUCUGUCUCCAAAUGUGGUCAGUGACACAUGGACACUAAUGUUAGCAAUAAUACUCACCAGAUCCCAAAUACCUUCCUUGUAUUCUGACUGUUGCAUGGAAGCAGAGCUCUGGUCUCUUUUACCACGAUGUGCAAUGUGGCUUACAUUGAGUUCUUCAAAGAUACUUUGAAAUCCUAACCUGUAGUGCCUGUGAAUGGGACCCUAUUUGGAAAUAUGAUUUUUCUACAUAAGCAGAUGUGUUUAACUAGUAAGUUUACAAAGGGUUAUAAGUACAAUGGAAUGUGCCAUGAGGUCCUGAGCUAAAUAGCAACUUCAUAAGCAGACAAGGGUCAUAAACAAGCACAGAAAGCCAAUCCCCUGUGAGAAAACCAAAACACAUAGGUCAAUGUGACAUUACAACAGGUCAGAGAUUAGAAUCAUGCAUUUGUGUACCAAAGCAAACCAAGACUUGCCAGCAGUACAAGAAGCUAGUAGCAAGGCAUGGGGAUAGAUUCUUCUCCGUAGCUCUCAGAUUCCUAUGGCUUUGAUGAUAUUUUAAUUCCAGGUUCAUCUCCAGUACUAAUAAAAAUAUACUACUGUUGUUUGAAAUCAUCCAGUUUGUUAAAUCAUCACUAGGAAAAAAUAUGUGAUAGAAAUUCUAGUACAAUAAUCCAGUCCCAUGCUCCCCUUUACUACCUACCAUGUUUAGUGGUUUUAAUUUAGUUAAUUAAAAUUGUCAACGCCACACAAUCAUGAGUCCCUUGUGAAUAAAGUCUGUGUGGGGGUUUUCCAGAUCAGUUUGGCUUAUGGACUUCUCUGUGGUAGUGCUGCUGCUGGUGGUGCUGGUGUGUGUGUGUGUGUGUGUGUGUGUGUGUGUGUGUGUGUGUGUGUGUGAUGAUUAUAUUAAUUGAUUGUAGGUAGGACCAUGUCUUAGUCAGGGUUUCUAUUCCUGCACAAACAUCAUGACCAAGAAGCAAGUUGGGGAGGAAAGGGUUUAAUCGGCUUGCACUUCCAUACUGCUGUUCAUCACCAAGGAAGUCAGGACUGGAACUCAAGCAGGUCAGGAAGCAGGAGCUGAUGCAGAAGCCAUGGAGGGAUGUUUCUUACUGGCUUGCUUCCCCUGGCUUGCUCAGCGUGCUUUCUUAUAGAACCAAGAUUACCAGCCCAGAGAUGGUCCCACCUACAAGGGGCCUUUCCCCCUUGACCACUAAUUGAGAAAAUGCCUUACAGUUGGAUCUCAUGGAGGCAUUUCCUCAACUGAAGCUCCUUUUUCUGUGAUAACUCCAGCUGUGUCAAGUUGAUACAAAACUGGCCAAUACAGACCAAUUCCCUAGACAGUAGAUCCUGGACUAUGUAAGUACAGAAAGCAAACUGAAUACUGAUAGGCAUGCAUGUAGUCAUUUCUCUUUACCCCUGACUGUGGGUGCUACUAGGUUCUUUGAGUUCUUGUCUUAAGUUCCACUAAUGGUGGACAUUGUAUUAUAUGCAAAGUAAUCCCCUUUUCAAUUCAGUUGUUCUUUGUCAUAGCUACAGAAUGAAACUAUGAUAACCCCUUUCUUCUAAUUCCCCUUGAGUAUGGUCAUUUAACACAAUCCCUUUUCAUUGAACACUUGGAAACAGAAGGCUAGUCACCUUCCUGGCAUUGGAGAAGAUAAGGAAAAUGCCAUUACUGUUUUGUCUUACUCAUGUUGCCUUAUAUUUUCAGGAGUCAAGAACAUGUUAACAAUUUCUAGCAUCAAACUUGUAAGUUUCCUGAUCUUGUUCACAUUGGCAAGUUCAUCAAUGAGUAUUUUCUUAGAACUCUGACUUGUCAGUUAUUUUCAGUGAAUGUGAUUAAAUUAUCUACCAUGUGAGAACCCAAAGAGAAAUAUAAUCUUCAAUAAGCAACCAGUCCACAGAGAUAUAAAGAUUUACAUAGACAUAUUUAUAAAGUGUUAUAAUAUCACACUAAAGAUGUACUUAGUAAUAGAGUGUAUUCCAGUCAGGAAAGUCUUCAUUUACAAGAUAUUUUGAACUUUAUUAUUAAGAGUGGGUAGAAAAAUAGUAAACUCAUAUUAAAUAGUAAAAAUCCUGGUGAAUGUAUGGACUAGGUCUUGUACUACAUGUUUUUCUGUAGCUUCUCAUCAAAUCUGGGAGCUAAGCACUUGUAUAGCAUAGCUGAUGAGCCUGAAAAGAAAGGAUAGUGAAUUAGUUCAAGAAAUUCUGAUGGAGGGGUUGAAGUUAUUAGUUGAAACCAGGCAUACAGCAUUUGUUCUUUCAACUACAGUGUGCUAAUU